CCCAUGCUUAUAAGCACAAGAGUCACAGGCGUUUGGUUAGCUGACUUAUGCUCAGCUUAUUUGAAAAGCCACUGCAGCUUCUCUCGAAAAGGAGAAGCUGCGUGACCCCUGCUUUCAGAAGCCAGAAGCCAGCAGCGUACUGUAGCGUAGCUUCCUGUAGUUAAAUGAAUCUUUCUAAAUGACGAAGUCUAUCCCUCCUUGGUUGAGGCAAUUACGGAUUGCCAUUAGCCCUUCGAGAUGAGAUCUCAGACUCUGCUUCAUUUUCAUCUCUAUCCCAUCUCUACUCUCCCUCUGACGCCGCCGGGCUCUCAUCACAGACCAAGCAUCCCUCUCCCACAAACGCCGCCACCAGGGGCGGAUCUAGGCACAAGCUGGGGUGGGCUCAAGCCCCGCCGAACUCCCAGUCCCGAUCUCUCUUUUCAACUUCUCAACCUGCUUCUCGGCAUCUCCUGUCUUUCAAUCCCCACCCAGCCCCCACCGCUGAGCUCCACCUCCAGCCUUUCAAGCCCCACCCAGCCACCGCCGAACUCAAUCCUUCAGCACUCCCGACUGCAUAGCCCGAUAGCCAAAGUCUUUCUUCUUUAGAGUUCAGACUUCAGACUACCGAUUCUUCAGAUUGAGUUCUAGUCUUCUGCUUCUUCAGUUCUUCCUCUCUUAACUGUGUGAAUAAAUUGCUGGGUUGCCGGCAGUGUGUAAGUUGACGAAUUUCCUGGGUGAGUUACUGAGUUUGAUGAAAUUGCUGGGUGUAUUGGGGUAUCAAGCAGUUGAGUAAAAAAUUGGAGCUUUUGAUUUUUUGAGGUUUUUGGGGAGGUGGGUUUGAAUUCGUCUUUGUUGUUUGGAUCAGUGAGAGGUUUCUUUAAUCAUUUGAACUUUGAAGACGUCUUGAAGAUUUCUUCUAGUGUAAUCAUGAAUUGAGGUUCAAAAUGAAUCGUAUUGAGUGAAUGGUUUUGUAUUAGUUUUGGAGAAAGGAUGGAGCAAAGCUGGGUUGGUGCUUGGUUUGGGGAAAACAAUCAUGGAGUACAGUGAGAUUUAUAUAGAUAGGUAAAUAUUUGGUAGCUCAUAAAUGCCUCCAGCUCGUGGAGUAAUAUUAUGUAUAAGAUGAACAUAUUUGGUGAAGGGCAGUCGUUUUCUACCAGAAGCUGAAAUCCGAAAGAAACGACUUGUUGAAAAGUCUAAAAAUCUCAAGGGAUCUGGGAAGCUUGAAGCCUUCUUGGAGCAAAGGCGAAAGAAGAAUGCUACAAAGGACUAUACAUACAUGCCGUACUGUAGACCUGACAACAUUGAGUAGCAAACUUAAUGGUCUCACUUGGUUGCAUUGAAGAAGCAUAACUUUAAUCCCAUCUUAGGAUUUCUAGGUAUUGAUGGGGUGUUUCCUUGAGCUGUAAUUUGGUUAACAAUUUUGUUGAAUACAAAAAAAAUAUAGCUAUUAUGAGACUUUGAUGGUGGUGAUGUUUGGACCAAAAAUGAUUGUGAUUAUUGUCAAUCAAUUUUAUUUUUACCUCA